UACGUAGGGUCCGAGCGUUGUCCGGAAUACUGGGCGUAAAGCGUGCGCAGGCGGUUUUCCAAGACAGAUGUGAAAUCCCCCGGGCUCAACCUGGGAAUGGCAUUUGUGACUGGAAGGCUAGAGUGUGUCAGAGGGGGGGUAGAAUUCCACGUGUAGCAGUGAAAUGCGUAGAGAUGUGGAGGAAUACCGAUGGCGAAGGCAGCCCCCUGGGAUAACACUGACGCUCAUGCACGAAAGCGUGGGGAGCAAACAGG
rnacentral:rRNA from 1 species